GAUGAACGCUAGCGGCAGGCUUAACACAUGCAAGUCGAGGGGUAGAGGAAGCUUGCUUCCUUGAGACCGGCGCACGGGUGCGUAACGCGUAUGCAACCUACCUUUUACAGAGGGAUAACCCAGAGAAAUUUGGAUUAAUACCUCAUAGUAUAUAGUCUUCGCAUGUUGACUAUAUUAAAGUUCCAGCGGUAAAAGAUGGGCAUGCGUCCUAUUAGCUAGAUGGUAAGGUAACGGCUUACCAUGGCAACGAUAGGUAGGGGUCCUGAGAGGGAGAUCCCCCACACUGGUACUGAGACACGGACCAGACUCCUACGGGAGGCAGCAGUGAGGAAUAUUGGACAAUGGGCGCAAGCCUGAUCCAGCCAUGCCGCGUGCAGGAAGAAGCAUCUAUGGUGUGUAAACUGCUUUUGUACAGGAAGAAACACCCCGACGUGUCGGGACUUGACGGUACUGUAAGGAUAAGGAUCGGCUAACUCCGUGCCAGCAGCCGCCGUAAUAC
rnacentral:rRNA from 1 species